rnacentral:rRNA from 1 species
AUUGAACGCUGGCGGCAUGCCUAACACAUGCAAGUCGAACGGGGCAGCAAUGCCUAGUGGCGGACGGGUGAGGAAUACGUAGGAAUCUGCCCUUAAGUGGGGGAUAACCAGGGGAAACCCUGACUAAUACCGCAUGAUCUCUUCGGAGCAAAGAGGGGGACCGCAAGGCCUCUCGCUUCUGGAAGAGCCUAAGUAUGAUUAGCUAGUUGGUAAGGUAAAGGCCUACCAAGGCGACGAUCAGUAACUGGUCUUAGAGGAUGUUCAGUCACACCGGAACUGAGACACGGUCCGGACUCCUACGGGAGGCAGCAGUGGGGAAUAUUGGACAAUGGGCGCAAGCCUGAUCCAGCAAUGCCGCGUGUGUGAAGAAGGCCUUCGGGUUGUAAAGCACUUUAGCCUGGAAAGAAAAAACUUUGGUUAACACCCAAAGUCUUGACGGUACCAGGAGAAUAAGCACCGGCUAACUCUGUGCCAGCCGCCGCCGUAAUAC